rnacentral:tRNA from 1 species
GGGGCUUUAGCUCAGUUGGGAGAGCGCUUGAAUGGCAUUCAAGAGGUCAGGGGUUCGAAUCCCCUAAGCUCCACCA